rnacentral:rRNA from 1 species
CUACGGGAGGCAGCAGGGAAUAUUGGUCAAUGGGCGCAAGCCUGAACCAGCCAUGCCGCGUGAAGGAAGACGGCCCUACGGGUUGUAAACUUCUUUUGUACGGGAAAAAACCUCCGGUCGUGAACCGGAGCUGAUGGUACCGUAAGAAUAAGCACCGGCUAACUCCGUGCCAGCAGCCGCGGUAAUACGGGGGUGCGAGCGUUGUCCGGAAUGAUUGGGCGUAAAGCAUCUGUAGGUGGUUCUUAAAGUCGACUGUUAAAGCCCAGAGCUCAACUUUGGAUAAGCGGUCGAGCACUUAAGGACUUGAGUAUGGUAGGGGUAGAGGGAAUUCCUAGUGGAGCGGUGAAAUGCACAGAGAUUAGGAAGAACACCAAAGGCGAAAGCACUCUACUGGGCCAUGACUGGCACUGAGAGAUGAAAGUCGGGGGAGCGAAAAGGAUUAGAUACCCUUGUAGUCCCGACCGUAAACGAUGGAUACUAAGUGCUGACAAAAUCAGUGCUGUAGCUAACGCGUUAAGUAUCCCGCCUGGGGAGUAUGCUCGCAAGAGUGAAACUCAAAGGAAUUGACGG